AUGGGACUCGUGGGACGGCGCACGGGUGAGUAACGCGUGGGAUGUACCCUUUAGUACGGAAUAGCCUCGGGAAACUGGGAUUAAUACCGUAUACGCCCUUCGGGGGAAAGAUUUAUCGCUAAAGGAUCAGCCUGCGUGACAUUAGCUAGUUGGUAAGGUAAUGGCUUACCAAGGCAACGAUGUCUAGCUGGUCUGAGAGGAUGAUCAGCCACACUGGAACUGAGACACGGUCCAGACUCCUACGGGAGGCAGCAGUGAGGAAUAUUGGGCAAUGGGCGAAAGCCUGACCCAGCCAUGCCGCGUGUGUGAUGAAGGCCCUAGGGUUGUAAAGCACUUUCAUUGGUGAAGAUAAUGACGGUAACCAAAGAAGAAGCCCCGGCUAACUUCGUGCCAGCAGCCGCGGUAAUACGAAGGGGGCUAGCGUUGUUCGGAAUCACUGGGCGUAAAGCGCGUGUAGGCGGAUAUGUAAGCUAGGGGUGAAAUCCCGGGGCUCAACCUCGGAACUGCCUUUAGAACUGCAUAUCUAGAAUCUCGGAGGGGAUAGGGGAAUUCCUAGUGUAGAGGUGAAAUUCGUAGAUACUAGGAGGAACACCGGUGGCGAAGGCGCCUAUCUGGACGAGCAUUGACGCUGAGACGCGAAAGCGUGGGGA
rnacentral:rRNA from 1 species